rnacentral:rRNA from 1 species
AUUGAACGCUGGCGGCAUGCUUUACACAUGCAAGUCGAACGGCAGCGCGGGCUUCGGCCUGGCGGCGAGUGGCGAACGGGUGAGUAAUACAUCGGAACGUGCCCAGUAGUGGGGGAUAGCUCGGCGAAAGCCGGAUUAAUACCGCAUACGACCUGAGGGUGAAAGCGGGGGAUCUUCGGACCUCGCGCUAUUGGAGCGGCCGAUGGCGGAUUAGCUAGUUGGUGGGGUAAAGGCCUACCAAGGCGACGAUCUGUAGCUGGUCUGAGAGGACGACCAGCCACACUGGGACUGAGACACGGCCCAGACUCCUACGGGAGGCAGCAGUGGGGAAUUUUGGACAAAGGGCGAAAGCCUGAUCCAGCAAUGCCGCGUGUGUGAUGAAGGCCUUCGGGUUGUAAAGCACUUUUGGCGGGAACGAAAAGGACUGUGCCAAUACCACGGUUCGAUGACGGUACCCGCAGAAUAAGCACCGGCUAACUACGUG